GACGAACGCUGGCGGCGUGCUUAACACAUGCAAGUCGAACGGAAAGGCCCUGCUUUUGUGGGGUGCUCGAGUGGCGAACGGGUGAGUAACACGUGAGUAACCUGCCCUUGACUUUGGGAUAACUUCAGGAAACUGGGGCUAAUACCGGAUAGGAGCUCCUGCUGCAUGGUGGGGGUUGGAAAGUUUCGGCGGUUGGGGAUGGACGCGCGGCUUAUCAGCUUGUUGGUGGGGUAGUGGCUUACCAAGGCUUUGACGGGUAGCCGGCCUGAGAGGGUGACCGGGCACAUUGGGACUGAGAUACGGCCCAGACUCCUACGGGAGGCAGCAGUGGGGAAUAGUGCACAAUGGGCGGAAGCCUGAUGCAGCAACGCCGCGUGCGGGAUGACGGCCUGCGGGUUGUAAACCGCUUGCGCCUGUGACGAAGCGUGAGUGACGGUAAUGGGUAAAGAAGCACCGGCUAACUACGUG
rnacentral:rRNA from 1 species